ensembl:antisense Gm15337 predicted gene 15337
CUGCCUUCCCAGUUCCCACAUAGGAAGCAGGGUUUGUGUAGACUCGAGGGUCCCUGGCAAGAUGUCAAACUGAGAACACAGGUCUGGGCUGGCACUGAAGGUCCGUCUCCAGCUGCAUGUCCUCCAGCUUCAUGUACAGCCUGCCUGGUUUACGGGCAGGCUCCCCAUCCAAAGGCCAAGAUGACUGCCAAGCAUCCUGCUGAUUCAGAUUGCCCAGACAGAGAAAGUGUCCUAUUACUGCUGAUUCUAAACCCCCAUCUGAUUCUCCAAAGGGCUUCAUUAGCCUCGUGCCCAGUCCUAAAUCCACCAGUGUGCUUUGACAAGGUAGCAACAGUCGGGCUCCCUGCUUUCUCAGUGGCAAUGAAAAGUGGCCCACAACACCAGAAGCAGCAGUUGUCAUGGAGACCACGUGAAGCUCAGCAGCUCCACUGGGGCUCAAGGUUAGAGGAAUUCCACGUAGUUCUCUGGGAUGAGGCCAGUCUUUCCAUUCAGAGUCCCCUCCAACCAGCCAGGCUCCUGAGAUGGAUGAACUGUAUAGGAAGAGAGAGAAGAGAUGAGGUCACAGGCAGCCCAGAAGGUGGCUGUGCUGUGCACUGGAAGAUGUAGGAGACAGGGUCUCAAUCAGAUUUGAACGCACAGCAACCCUCUUGCUUCAGCAUUACAAGCCCUGGAAUUAGCAGCCCGAGCCACCAUGCACAGCCUGACCUAUCGGCUUUGUAUCCUUAAGCCCACAGCCCUACUUCUCAUGUUCUCACAGGUCCUUUCUUCAUGCUGCAGACUCGGAAUGCUUCCCUUCUGUUCCACCCACAGCCUUCCUUACUUUUCUAUACUCUAGAGCUUUUCCUAUAAACAAGUCAAAAAGCAGUCUGCUUCUUCUACUGAACUUUCAAAGGCUCCCAUCCUUUUGUUUUUUUCCAACAACCACAGAAUAUAGAUCCAUUUCUGUUAUGGGAAAUACCAAGAGUGAAGAGAUGAAGAGAUGGGGAGAUCUGGCUGAGUCUAUAAAGAAUAACAUAGUGGGAAGGAAUAGAGGUGGAACUGUGAACCUCAGUGAUGACUAUGUCUGGGGAGGUGGGGGUGUUACUACUUGUGAAACAGCUGUACAAGUACAGGUCAUUUUGGGGUGGGGCAGGGUCCUCGCUCUAAAUGGAUUAGGAAAACUCCAAUUAUCCCAGAUUGUGUGGAGAGAAUGGAUUCCCCCCCCCCCCCCCCCCCCCCCCCUGUUCCUUUCCUGGGCUAAUUAAGCGACUUCCUGAGCUUGUUUUAGAAACGCACUUCCGCCCCAGCACUACUGUAUGGUUCUAGUUUCACUUUGUAGGGAAAGAAGAACAGAAACCUAUGGAAGGCAAUGGGGAGGAAACCAAAUCACAGGCUCCAAGGCUGCUAGAAGAGCUAAAGUAUGUAGAAGCAUUUCCACACUUCCUUAGGGGAAGACAUGAUCAGAUACCUAUUAGCUGGCCUUCAAAAACCUUGCUAAACUUCCUCCCAUGAGUGAAGAACAAAACCUCAGACCUGCAGAGAGUACACAGAGAAGAGUCUGAAGCACUUAGGGGUGACUUGGCCUCUCCAGGUAUGAAAGGGCUUUCUAGGCCACUUAUAAGAAACACUGAGUAGGCUUGCCGUUUGCCUGGCUGCCAGCUGAGGCUGUCUAGACCCCUUCCAGUCUGUACCUCUACACCCACCGGUGGCAGGAUCUUUGCUGUGGUUUCUGGUGUGGAUUAAAGGACCCACCGCACCGUUAGUGUAUUGUUAACUCCCAGUGCAGCUAAGAAGUAAGGCACUCUCUCCGUAAAUCACAGCAAAGGGGCCGGGGCAAUGGCACGGGUGGGGAAAGCCUUUGGUCUGUACAUCUAAGGACUGAGUUCAAAUCCAUGUAAAAAGCCAGCUGGGGCAGGGUGCUUCUGCUACCCCAGCACUUGGAGCAAGAGCAAGAGACAGUAGGACCUCGGUACCUUUGACCUAAGUCUGGGCAAAGGGCUUGGUAUCUACACCCACCAAAGCUUCAGGAAACCUUAGAUGUUCAGAACCAAAAGUAAACAUAAUAAACUAAUUCCCUUGGGGGUGGGGAGGAACUGAUUUAGAAAGAAAAGAUCUGAACAAAAUAAAGGCAACCGAAACAGCUCUGCCCCUCGGCAGCAUGGCUGCUUGGAGGGUGGAUGCGUCCACCUCCUUCCACAGCUGUUCAAACAGCACAGGUACCUAGGUAUCUAUGAACCUGAGUAGAAUUGUCGGACUACGGCUAGCCUCGGACAAAACCAGGACGGCCUAGAUAGAGAUGGCUCACCCGGGCUUCAGGGGGUGAAACAGUCUUUGCAAGGGUCUGCUGACUCGUGCUAGACAAGGCGCCAACUUUAUCUAUGUGCUCAUGGAAUCUGUGGGUUCCUUAGCUCGAGAGCACCUGCAUUGCCACUGGUUUGCAGAAGUAAAAAGCUAUGACUUUUGUGUGACAAAUGCCUUGUAAUAAAGGUGGUAGUUAAGAAUCAAAGUCUGAGCUCUCGUCAGCUGAAGGAGGGAGCUCAGAUGCCCCACUGUACUCUGUUCUCUGGCUUUAUACAGGGUUCAGGUGAAGCCACAGCUUAUUCAUAAACAGUAUUAAGGACUUGAUUCUACCUGGUCCUCCUAUAUCCUGAUUUCUGGAAAAUUCAUAGCAUACCUCACAUGGUGUUCAUCGGUCCUAUUGUACUGAAGUGACAAAGCUUUGUUUUGCUAUCUGACUUCUUAUCAACUAUCUGGCUCAACAACCUUUAGCAACUGCUCCGUCCACUAUGACACAGCCAAACUUUAAAGGGUGAGUAUCAUGGGGGGGGGGCAGUGCACAUGUUCACAAUUUCAGACAAAUUCAUGUGGACAUAGUCACAUGGGUAAGACCAGAAUCUGAACGGAGAGUAAAGCCUUCCUCUGCUCUAAGCUGCUUUCCUUCAGUUGGAGGAGGUGGCUCUUAAUGGUAAGAAGAGGUUGAGUGCACAGUAAAUAGCAGAAGCUUCACUCCCAGGCGCUCCACCUGUAUUAGUUUCAGUGUGAAACUAAAGCCAAUUCUGCUAGUAUCCUCAUUUACAGAUGAAAACCCGAGGCUCCACAAUGUUAAGCAGCAGGCUGAACCGUUCCAGGGCUGGGAGAUAAUGGAGGCACACCAGAGCCCCAGGACAUCUGACCAGUCUCAACUGUACUUAUGCCUGCUCAGGACUCUGACCGGUGAGACACUCGGUAAGCGGUGGGCAGACAAACCUGCCCCAGUGUCCAACGUGCUAUACACACACGAUGCAGUACUAGGAGCUGCCUGGGUGGCAAUCUUGCCUAGUGAGCACAUCAUAUAAGCUGCAACUGGCUUGGGCCUAACUUCGCUCUUUGCUAUAGACUUGGGUACAAUACAGGUUCCUGGCAGAACCUGGUACAACACAGGUGUCCUGUUUACUAUGGACAAUGGGCAAGUGUGUGACCAAGCUCUCUAAUGGCUGGCUACUCCCAGAGGGAAGAAGCCUCCACUGGAGGAAGCUAACAGAUGUAAUGGGUUAUUAGAAGGCAUUUACUCAUUACACAAAUGUCUUAUAAGCACCUAUGAGGGGCCAGACACUGUGCUAGGUUCUCAUAUAUGUCCCCUUAGGGUAGUGACAGAUUAUCAAUAAACAUAGUGAAGGGGGGAGGGAGAGAAAGAAAGAAGGGGAGGAGAGGAGGGGGAAAAAUGGGGAUUUGGGUAGAGGGAAGGAACUCAGAAAGUUACAACCCAAAGGCUCUCAUGCUAUUAGCCAGGAGUGCUUAGAGCAGAUACAAGGCCCUAAGACACAGAAAAGCUAGAUGUGAUCUCAGAAUAGUACUCUGUAAACUCCCUAUAAAGGGCCACACAGUAUGGAAAACAUAAAAACAAAAAACUAUGGGGAGGGGGUGUUCCAAUAAAACUUUAAUC